rnacentral:rRNA from 1 species
UUGUUGGGUAGGGGAGCGUUCUGUAAGCCUGCGAAGGUGGCCUGUGAGGGCUGCUGGAGGUAUCAGAAGUGCGAAUGCUGACAUAAGUAACGAUAAAGCGGGUGAAAAGCCCGCUCGCCGGAAGACCAAGGGUUCCUGUCCAACGUUAAUCGGGGCAGGGUGAGUCGACCCCUAAGGCGAGGCCGAAAGGCGUAGUCGAUGGGAAACAGGUUAAUAUUCCUGUACUUGGUGUUACUGCGAAGGGGGGACGGAGAAGGCUAUGUUAGCCGGGCGACGGUUGUCCCGGUUUAAGCAUGUAGGCGGAGGUUCCAGGUAAAUCCGGUACCUUUUAACGCUGAGGUGUGAUGACGAGGCACUACGGUGCUGAAGUAACAAAUGCCCUGCUUCCAGGAAAAGCCUCUAAGCAUCAGGUAACAUUAAAUCGUACCCCAAACCGACACAGGUGGUCAGGUAGAGAAUACCAAGGCGCUUGAGAGAACUCGGGUGAAGGAACUAGGCAAAAUGGUGCCGUAACUUCGGGAGAAGGCACGCUGGUGUGUAGGUGAAGUCCCUGCGGAUGGAGCUGAGACCAGUCGAAGAUACCAGCUGGCUGCAACUGUUUAUUAAAAACACAGCACUGUGCAAACACGAAAGUGGACGUAUACGGUGUGACGCCUGCCCGGUGCCGGAAGGUUAAUUGAUGGGGUUAUCCGUAAGGAGAAGCUCUUGAUCGAAGCCCCGGUAAACGGCGGCCGUAACUAUAACGGUCCUAAGGUAGCGAAAUUCCUUGUCGGGUAAGUUCCGACCUGCACGAAUGGCGUAAUGAUGGCCAGGCUGUCUCCACCCGAGACUCAGUGAAAUUGAACUCGCUGUGAAGAUGCAGUGUACCCGCGGCAAGACGGAAAGACCCCGUGAACCUUUACUAUAGCUUGACACUGAACAUUGAGCCUUGAUGUGUAGGAUAGGUGGGAGGCUUUGAAGCGUGGACGCCAGUCUGCGUGGAGCCAACCUUGAAAUACCACCCUUUAAUGUUUGAUGUUCUAACGUAGGCCCCUGACCGGGGUUGCGGACAGUGUCUGGUGGGUAGUUUGACUGGGGCGGUCUCCUCCCAAAGAGUAACGGAGGAGCACGAAGGUUAGCUAAUCCUGGUCGGACAUCAGGAGGUUAGUGCAAUGGCAUAAGCUAGCUUGACUGCGAGCGUGACGGCGCGAGCAGGUGCGAAAGCAGGUCAUAGUGAUCCGGUGGUUCUGAAUGGAAGGGCCAUCGCUCAACGGAUAAAAGGUACUCCGGGGAUAACAGGCUGAUACCGCCCAAGAGUUCAUAUCGACGGCGGUGUUUGGCACCUCGAUGUCGGCUCAUCACAUCCUGGGGCUGAAGUAGGUCCCAAGGGUAUGGCUGUUCGCCAUUUAAAGUGGUACGCGAGCUGGGUUUAGAACGUCGUGAGACAGUUCGGUCCCUAUCUGCCGUGGGCGCUGGAGAAUUGAGGGGGGCUGCUCCUAGUACGAGAGGACCGGAGUGGACGCAUCACUGGUGUUCGGGUUGUCAUGCCAAUGGCACUGCCCGGUAGCUAAAUGCGGAAGAGAUAAGUGCUGAAAGCAUCUAAGCACGAAACUUGCCCCGAGAUGAGUUCU